rnacentral:rRNA from 1 species
AACGAACGCUGGCGGCGUGCUUAACACAUGCAAGUCGAGCGCGAAAGGGGCUUCGGCCCUGAGUAAAGCGGCAGACGGGUGAGUAACACGUGGGCAACCUGUCCUUGGGUGGGGGAUAACUACUCGAAAGGGUGGCUAAUACCGCAUAAGACCACGGCCUUGCGGGGCUGGGGUCAAAGGUGCUAAUCGCCUGAGGAGGGGCACGCGGCGGAUUAGCUAGUUGGUGAGGUAACGGCUCACCAAGGCGACGAUCGGUAGCUGGUCUGAGAGGAUGAUCAGCCACACUGGUACUGAGACACGGACCAGACUCCUACGGGAGGCAGCAGUGGGGAAUAUUGCGCAAUGGGGGAAACCCUGAUGCAGCAACGCCGCGUGAGUGAUGAAGGCCUUCGGGUCGUAAAGCUCCUUGAUCAGGGACGAUAAUGACGGUACCUGAAAAACAAGCCACGGCUAACUACGUGCCAGCAGCCGCGGUAAAAC